rnacentral:lncRNA from 1 species
UGGUCUUAAGUUCUAAGGCACAUGAGUUACUAUAAAGAUAACCAUAGGAGCAACAAUAUUAGGAUCUACACAUCCUAUUUUACGAGAUCCAAAGGUAAAUGAUUUACCUCGCUUCACAAGCAUUUUUUUAAAAUAUUCAAUUUUUGUUGGAAAUAAGGAACCAUCACAUCCAAUCUUCAAUUCUUCAAAAGUCUCCUUUAUAAACUGAUGUCCAAUCUUCUUUGAAUCUCUUAAACUCUCUUCUUUUGAUACUUCUUCCAUUUGAUCCUUAGAAUCUUCUUGUAAAGGAUUGAUAAUAAGUUUUACCUUUUUAUCUACUGUUUUAUAUUUU